UAUUUGAAUGGAGGGACGGGGA
rnacentral:misc_RNA from 1 species